GGAACCAACUGUUAUUGUCACAACAGCUCAACAACCAAAUACAGUGGUGAUGACCACACAAGCAUACCCGGCCUACAACCAACAGCCACCACCUUAUGGUCAACCUGCUGGUCAAGUUCAAAUGGUCGUCGAUAGCAAAGCUUAUUGAUUACAUUUUUUACAUAUAAUUACCAUAGCCUUUUAGGUCAAAUAAUGUAUUAUUAAAGGCCUAUAUUUGCACGAACAAUUAUGUAUUGAUAGAAUUGAAUCACCUAGCUAAAUAUGUAGUUCAGUAUAAGUUUCAUUUGUGCACUAUCAAAUUAAGAGGAGAAUCUUGUGUGUGUUAUGUUGAUAAUUGUAUUUAAAUUGACAAUUGCACGAACAAUAUUGAUAGAACUUGAACCAUCUAACUAAAUAUGUAGUUCAGUAUUUGUGCACAAUCAAAUUAAGAGGGGAAUGUUUUGUAAGUUACGUAACACGCACUCAAAACCAAUGAAUAUACCUUUCCACUCAGUUAUGACUAGUUCAAUUUUUUAAAUUUUUGAUACGUUUCUCUAGCGGCAAACAAACUUAAAAAGCAUGUUUAGUGCUCUAUCUGUAAGUACAGUUAUACAUCAUACCACAUACGGGAUUUGCGUCAAUUAGUGAACAUCAGUGCACAUGCUCACAUGUACUACUAUUUGCUGAGCAACGUGUGUUUGUAAAUUCCCACUUUCUGGCCAAUAGCUAGCCUGCUCGCAUCAGCCUUAAAAUUUGAAUAGCGAUCUUGAAACGGAUACGCGUCGCAAUGCAUUUCAGAUCGAUUACAUAUUGACAGGACUACAGGUGGUCUAAUUAAUUAAACAAAGUUCAACAGAAUCUAGCGAAUCUUUCAUCUUUUGGGAAUCCUUAAGGCCCAGCGAAAAAAUGGCAAUGUCAAACGGUAUACGAGUGGGCUCGAUCACAAUUGGAUGUUCGCUGUUGGUACUCACAUUCCUCUCCAUGAUUUGUGGUAUUGUCGCGAUGAGCAAAAUGAGUAAUCCAGUUGCUGUUAGUAUCGGUUUAUGGGGACUUUAUGUAAGUAUAACAUUUCACAGUGUUUUCUCUUUAACGUUCGCGUUUUUAAGUAAGUAAUUGAUUAGCGCCGGUGAACAAGAUUGCAUUUCCGUAGGACAUGUUGUAGAACAUUGAGAGUUUUACGUCCUACCAUAUUUUACAGUCUUAGAAAUUUAAAGAAAAGAGUUGUAUAUAUGACGGGAUGACGG